CUGCCUUUGAGAUGAUAUUUGUAAAAUUUAGCUUAGUUCCAGUCACAUAUCAAGAAUUUGAUAAAUACCUGUUCCCCUACUUUUCUUUUUAGUAGCUAUAUUCUUUCUAACCUCAUCAUCAUCUUUGUCAAAGUGAAUUUAUCUAGAACCAUAAUAAAUUUAAAUUAUUCAAGGAAAGAUAUGUUAGUAUACUACUUUUGUGGAAAGGAAACAAGACUGACAGUUUAUGGGGGAAGGGGCUAACUGGGAGUGGCAGUUGGGUCUUGUGACUAGCACUUCCUUCCUGCCGGGAGAGGUCUUGCUUCCGGGUGUUGGAGGAGAGAGGAGUUUGUUCAGCCCAGUCUGGAGUGGCAUGCUCUUCUUGGUUCAGCCCAAAGACACAGGCUUCUGAAGCUUUAGAGAGUCUGUGGCUGCAAACUAGAUGGACAACAUAUUAAAAGAUCUAGCAUGGUCUGAGAAUGGCUGAAAAGUCAAAAGUGUGAGUGACUGAGGCAGAAAAAAAGAGAGGAGCAAGACAAGAUAAUAUAAUAUUGGUCAAGAGCCCUGUAAAGCACUUUAUUUCCAGUCAGACAAGAUGACUAUGCCUCAAUAUAAUCUAUAGAAGGAUUAUACUUGUGCUUUGGAGGUGAUUUUUUAAAACAAGUGACUUUAUAUCUCUUCAACUGCAACUUAUUAGAUUCAACCAAUCAUUCUAGUCAGUUGAAAUCUCUUUAAAUUUUGACUCUAUCACCCAACAGGAUUUGGAGCCCAUUUGGAUUUGGCAUCUGUUUCUGCUUCUAGUAUGUCUGGCUCAGGAGGCUCAAAGCUGCAAAUUCUACUGGGAAAAUAUUGAAAAUUAAUUUAUUGCUCAAUGCAGAACAAAGAUAAUCAAGACCACACCAUCCUUACACUAUUUAUAGAUGAAGAAAUUGGAGGCUUAAAGAGGUUGAGUGACAUGGACAAGAUUCAUUGCUUUUACAAAGAACAUGUUCACCCAAAACACCAAGCAUCCCAGGAACCUCUUUCAUAUGACAGUGUUGUUUUAAGAGUCCUUAAAAACAAGACAAAAUGAAACAAAACCAACAGGGAUUAGU
ensembl:lncRNA